AUAAACUGAAGAAGCAGUUGGAGUUGCAUAGGAUGCAGAAAGCCGCUCACGGUGUCACUGUUAGCCCAGCAGAGGUAGAGGAGGUAGACCCUGUGGAAGAAAACAUCCGCAGACAGAUGGAUGAGGAGAAGAAGAGUUACAAGAGCACCUUUGGCCAUCUGAAAACACUGAAGAUGGAGAUUGAGCACCUGCAGCUGCUGCUGGAGCGGUCAAAGGUGAAGCUCCAGAGAGACUUCCAGGAUUGGUGGAGCCAGG